rnacentral:rRNA from 1 species
AUUGAACGCUGGCGGCAGGCCUAACACAUGCAAGUCGAACGAGUGGCGGACGGGUGAGUAAUGUCUGGGCAACUGCCUGAUGGACGGGGAUAACUACUGGAAACGGUAGCUAAUACCGCAUACCAUCAGAUGUGCCCAGAGGGGAUUAGCUUGUUGGUGGGGUAACGGCUCACCAAGGCGACGAUCCCUAGCGGGUCUGAGAGGAUGACCGGCAACACUGGAACUGAGACACGGGCCAGAGUCCUACGGGAGGCAGCAGUGGGGAAUAUUGCACAAUGGGCGCAAGCCUGAUGGAGCAAUGCCGCGUGAAUGAAGAAGGCGUUCGGAUUGUAAAGUACUUUCAGCGGGGAGGCGUUACCCACAGAGAAAGCACCGGCUAACUCCGUGCCAGCAGCCGCGGUAAUUC